GAUGAACGCUGGCGGCGUGCCUAAUACAUGCAAGUCGAGCGAACAGACGAGGAGCUUGCUCCUCUGACGUUAGCGGCGGACGGGUGAGUAACACGUGGAUAACCUACCUAUAAGACUGGGAUAACUUCGGGAAACCGGAGCUAAUACCGGAUAAUAUAUUGAACCGCAUGGUUCAAUAGUGAACGACGGUUUUGCUGUCCCUUAUAGAUAGAUCCGCGCCGCAUUAGCUAGUUGGUAAGGUAACGGCUUACCAAGGCAACGAUGCGUAGCCGACCUGAGAGGGUGAUCGGCCACACUGGAACUGAGACACGGUCCAGACGCCUACGGGAGGCAGCAGUAGGGAAUCUUCCGCAAUGGGCGAAAGCUUGACGGAGCAACGCCGCGUGAGUGAUGAAGGUCUUCGGAUCGUAAAACUCUGUUAUUAGGGAAGAACAAAUGUGUAAGUAACUAUGCACGUCUUGACGGUACCUAAUCAGAAAGCCACGGCUAACUACGUG
rnacentral:rRNA from 1 species